rnacentral:lncRNA from 1 species
GCCAAGGCUGGAGUGCACUGGCAAGAUCUCGGCUCGCUGCAACCUCCACCUCCCAGGUUCAAGCAAUUCUCCUGCCUCAGCCUCCCAAGUAUCUGGGAUUACAGGCGCACACCACCACACCCGGCUAAUUUUUGUAUUUUCAGUAGAGAUGGGGUUUCACCAUGUUGGCCAGGCUGGUCUUGAACUCCUGACUUCAGGCGAUCCACCUGCCUCAGCCUCCCAAAGUGCUGGGAUUAUAGGCGUGAGCCACCGUGCCCGGCCGAAACCAGACAAUUCUAACACAGGGUGAUGGGGCUUUGAAGGGGGGAUACAAAGAAAGUCAGAAAGUGACUAGUCAAUUCUACACUUUGCCCCUUUUCCUGAGCUCGAUUUCAGGGUCUGCUGGGUUCUGGGCCAGAUCUUGGGGCGCACUUGGACCUUGGCAAAACCUCACUGCCUCUUCUACCAAGUGAGAAGUGUUGCCUGGACACUCUAGAAACCAGGUGUUUAAUCCGCAGAGGAGGAAGCACGAAGAAAAUUAGGUUUUCUCCUCGUCUGAGAGCUAUCAGAGCGGAAAUCUCAGUCUUGUGUGGGGACCUGAAGGCUGGGGAGGAAGUGACCGCCCUCAUAUGCCUGGGCUGGCUCAGCAAUUUGCAGUCUCUCCUGGGACCUGGGGGGUUGGGGCAGAGGGGUGAUGUCAAGGCUGCAGACAUAUGUGGCCGUCUGCCAGGGGAACCGUGGCUCCCAGACAAAGGUGAUGUCCCCGGGGACACACAGACACACCGACAUGCAACUUCCGCCUCCCUCCCACUUCUGAGGCAACACAAUGUCUUCGCCAGGUCAGCCAAGGGAGCGCUACAGAGGACUGGAAAACGCUGGAGGCCUGGACUUCCUGAUGGUCUUGGUGGGGGUCAGGAGGAGAGCUUGGCCUACCCCGGUGGCGGGGGGCGGGGGGCUGAGUGAGAGAACAGUGGAGGAGGAAGGAAACAGGGCCCUUUUCUUGGAGAACUCCCAGCAGGGGAAAUAGAGGAGAAGGAAGAGGCUUGAACUAGCUUCCACUAAUUAUAGGGUCAGUGACAAUAAUGGCUAACACUCACAGCCACCGACUGUGUGCUAGAUGUGGCGCUGUGAGUCCUCACAACCCGAGGAAGUGGGUAUUAUGAUAAUCAUCAUCUUUUUUUUUUUUUUUUUUGAGAUGGAGUCUCGCUCUGUCACUCAGGCUGGAGGGCAGUGGCGCGAUCUCAGCUCACUGCAACCUCCGCCUUCCAGGUUCAAGGGAUUCCCCUGCCUCAGCCUCCCGAGUAGCUGGGAUUACAGGCGCCCGCCACCACACCUGGGUAAUUUUUUGUAUUUUUAGUAGAAACGGGGUUUCACUGUGUUAGCCAGGCUGGUCUAGAACUCCUGACCUAAGCUGAU